GGCUUGUUGGUCUAGGGGUAUGAUUCUUGCUUUGGGUGCGUCGAGGGUUCAAAUCCCGGAUGAGCUC